rnacentral:rRNA from 1 species
AGAGCGAACGCUGGCGGCAGGCCUAACACAUGCAAGUCGAGCGCCCGUAGCAAUACGGGAGCGGCAGACGGGAUAGUAACACGUGGGAACGCGCCCUUCGGUUCGGAAUAACUCAGGGAAACUUGAGCUAAUACCGGAUACGCCCUUACGGGGAAAGAUUUAUUGCCGAAGGAACGGCCCGCGUCCGAUUAGCUAGUUGGUGAGGUAAUGGCUCACCAAGGCGACGAUCGGUAGCUGGUCUGAGAGGAUGACCAGCAUCACUGGGACUGAGACACGGCCCAGACUCCUACGGGAGGCAGCAGUGGGGAAUAUUGGACAAUGGGCGCAAGCCUGAUCCAGCCAUGCCGCGUGGAUGAUGAAGGCCUUAGGGCUGUAAAGUCCUUUUAACGGGGAAGAUAAUGACGGUACCCGUAGAAUAAGCCCCGGCUAACUUCGCGCCAGCAGCCGC